rnacentral:sRNA from 1 species
GUUUUCCGAGGCCGUUGCGUCCCGGUAGGUUCCUGGAUGACCACCUGGCUGGCUCAAAAUUCCCUCUAGAUUACCUGCGACCACCCCCAGGAACCCAGAGGCUGAAACUCCUUUUCUCACCUGCGCAGGUGGCCUCGAGGUGGUGGCAGGGCCGCCCCCUGCAGUCCGGAGGCGAACGCACGGACCCGGCCUCCGGAGGCAGGUUCGGCUGGGAGGAACCGCUCCCGCUUCGUCCUACACUUGGGCAAAUGUCUCCGCUUUGCUCCACUUAUCAGGCUCACCAAAUACAGCUGCAGUAUGAAUUCCAUCUUCUACACAACAGUAAACCAGAAUGUUCAUGUUCACUGUGUUCAUCUCCCAUCCUGUUGUCUAACGCACAUGGUUUUUUUAAACUUUUCUAAGAUUGCAUGAGAUUCUGCAACACAAUUGAUUAUAAAAACACUUGAAGUUUUUACCUUUUUUUUUACUUUCCAACU